rnacentral:rRNA from 1 species
GACGAACCGUGCGAACGUUGUUCGGAAUCACUGGGCUUAAAGGGCGCGUAGGCGGGUCUUCAAGUUUGGGGUGAAAUCCUCUGGCUCAACCGGAGAACUGCCUCGAAUACUGAAGGUCUCGAGGGGGAUAGGGGCAUGCGGAACUACGGGUGGAGCGGUGAAAUGCGUUGAUAUCCGUAGGAACUCCGGUGGCGAAGGCGGCGUGCUGGAUCCCUUCUGACGCUGAGGCGCGAAAGCCAGGGGAGCAAACGGG